rfam:Schistosoma curassoni strain Dakar, Senegal genome assembly, scaffold: SCTD_scaffold0004221
AUUUAGUUGACGAGUUUCAAAGGGAACGAAACUCGAGUCCUGGAU